rnacentral:rRNA from 1 species
UACGUAGGGGGCAAGCGUUGUUCGGAUUUACUGGGCGUAAAGGGCGCGUAGGCGGCGUGACAAGUCACUUGUGAAAUCUCCGGGCUUAACUCGGAACUGCCAAGUGAUACUGUCGUGCUAGAGUGCAGAAAGGGCAAUCGGAAUUCUUGGUGUAGCGGUGAAAUGCGUAGAUAUCAAGAGGAACACCUGAGGCGAAGGCGGGUUGCUAGGCUGACACUGACGCUGAGGCGCGAAAGCUAGGGUAGCAAACGGGAUUAGAAACCCCCGUAGUCC